rnacentral:rRNA from 1 species
UACGUAGGUGGCAAGCGUUGUCCGGAUUUACUGGGCGUAAAGAGCGCGCAGGCGGUCGUCCAAGUCGCGUGUGAAAGCCCCCGGCUCAACUGGGGAGGGUCACGCGAUACUGGUCGACUCGAAGGCAGGAGAGGGUAGUGGAAUUCCCGGUGUAGUGGUGAAAUGCGUAGAUAUCGGGAGGAACACCAGCGGCGAAGGCGACUACCUGGCCUGUUCUUGACGCUGAGGCGCGAAAGCUAGGGGAGCAAACGGG